AGCCCGAGAAGGCGGAGAAAGAGGUAGAGAAAGAGUACUAUCGAGGUAUUUGCGUCCUUGAAAAAAAAAACGGCCUGUUCAUAUCUGCUUGCUUGCGUAUGCAUGUGCCGACGGUGUGCGCACACUACUUGCCUCUCCCUCCCUCCCUCCCUCUUGCCAUACGUGUGUGUGUCGGUGUGUUCGUUGUUGGCGUCCAUCUCAAACCACCCCUCGAGCACACGCGUGAAAGUACGGGUAGAUCGUUGCGCGGUCCUUUGCUUGCUUCCACCUUCAUCUCCUUCGCUUCUCAAGUGACCCACACACCCACAUCCACACCCACACACAAAAGGGGGCGAAAACACACGUUGUGCCUGCCUGCCUGCGCCGUUAUCGUUUUCCUAUGGCGGGCUUUGGCAUGGCGUACUCCAACGCUCCGCAGUACUCCCGUGGGGUACUGGUGGGCAACUGGUUCGAGGACAUUGCCCUCCGCGAAGAUCAGCUGAAGCUGUACAAGGCGCAACGACAUGCCGCAGUGGAGCACCCCGAGAAGGCGGCAACAAACGCCGUAGCGCGUUCGAUGCUCGCGAGUCAGCUGGAAGAGCCGACCACUGUCGUUGCAUUUAAGGGAGAUGAUGUGCGCAUAGGGCACCCCUACUUGUUGGUGAACGACAAGACACAGGCUGUUCUGGCUUUAGACCUAAUGACUGGCGGUGGUGCCUCCUCCCAGUCGCAGCAGUACACCCUGUCUGGUUCUUUGGCCCCUGGCCCGCAGGUGCGAUCCACCUGGACUCUGCUGCGGUGCAAAGACGAGCACAACCACAGCUACAACCGCAACAGCUCAGAUGUGCUGCACUACGGCCAGCGAGUUCGCAUCGCUAACGAAAACGUGAGCGCCGAGGGCUUCCUGUAUGUGCAGUCCUCCCUGUCAUCCGGCCUUCGCUCGUCUGAGGUGCAGUGCACCGUGGCCGCUCUCAACGCCUGCGCAGACAACGUGUUUGUAGUGAGCCGCGCCGGCACGGUGCGCGACGAUGUGCACUUCGGUUUCCCUGUGAAGGUUGGCGACGGCGUGGUGCUUCUGCACUCCCUCACAAACCUGCCUCUCGCCUGCAACGGUGAGCGCGUGGCCACGUCGUACGGCAUGGAGUACGCCGUCACGUGCGGCUACACCACCGACUACUGCUCUCGCUCUCGGGGGGCGGUCGUGGUGAAGCCGGAGAACGUCUUCUACUUCUCUGGCGGUGAUGGUACGGAUGCAGUGCUCAUGAGGCCAAGAACGUCCUCCAGGCACCAAAGCAGGGCAUCGGCCAUGCUCACAAUGACAGCUGGCACUGGUGUGAUGGCGUUGAUGGAGCGCAUUCGUCAGGGUGCCCUAGAGAUUGGUGGACGCAUCGGCUUUCGCUCCCUCUCCAUCGCCCUCGGCGUGGCGUGCAACGAGCAGCGGCAACGUCGCUUCCUUGACCGCAACGAGCUUCGCAAGGCGAUUGCUCGACUUGGUGUCCUUCUGAGUCCUAUCGAGAUGGAUGUACUCAUGAGGCACUUCGACACAACCGGCAACAACGUCGUGUGCGCACAGGACUUCCUGGCCGAGUUGCGCGGCACAAUGCCGCUGGCCCGCAUGCAGGCGGUCAUCUACGCGUACCAGCAGCUGAGCAUUGAGGGACGGGGAUCUGUUGAGUUCAAGGAUAUGCACAGUCUUUUCCGUCUCAACGCCGCCACAAUCCCGGAUGUCGUCAACGGCGUCCUUCAACGCGAGGAGGCUGUACUCGACUUCGAGAGUUGCUGGCCAGGACGUGUCGGGUGCAAGGUCGGCACCGUCACUCUUGACGAGUUUGUCGACUACUACGCAGAUGUGUCGCCCGCGGAGGAGUCUGACGAGCGCUUCUGCAAGCUGCUGCAGCAGUCGUGGGCUAUUCCCGUCACCUCUGCCUACCUGUCUGGCGAGCCGCACCGCCUCCUCACCGUGACGUACGACGACAAGCCGACUGAGACGGUGCGUCUUCCCGACUCACUGGUGCUGGACACACAAGACCGAAAGGCUGUGAAGCGCCUCCUGAUCCAACGUGGUCUACGUGGCGUGAAAGACUUCACUGUGUCCACCAGCAUGUAGAGUCUCACCAGGGAGAGAGGGGCGCACAGGGGAAGAAAUGCAUACAAGAAAGGUAUGGGCAGGGCGGGAAGGGGGACGUUGCGGAUGCCGGCAGUCGCUUUCUUCUCGGUUUUCAUUUGUACCUUUUCCGUCGCCUUCACCCCCACGUCCCCAUCACCUACUCGACUCCUCCUCGCAUAUCCAUAUUUCGGCUUUGCUUCCCCACCCUCAACCCCUUUUUUUUUUACUUUCCUGUGUCUUUUCAACGAUGCGUGCAAGUGUGUAUGUUGUUUGUCGCGUGCGUGUGCGUGUGCGCGCACGCCGGUCCUCCAACUCCUCAGUUGCUUUCACGCAAGUUAUGUACAUACGGUUAGGAAGCACGUGUGUCUGUGCGCGCGCUCCGUCUCCCUUUGUUGUCUUUCUGUUUUCUCGCCUCUUCUUCUCUCACACACCCUUCUUGAAGGCAAGCGGCACACAAGAAGGGAGAGGGGAGACAGGAGAGGCACAACUGCAACUGGCUUCAUUGCGACCCCAACCCCUCUGUCUGUAGCACACCCGCUAGGGAUACGCAGGAGGAGAAUAUGGGCCCCCUUCGGUUAGACGGAGCGUCAAUGCCUCUCUCUCUGUGUGGGCACUCACCUUAGCCUCCCUGCCCCUCCUUGUUUGCCCCUGCAGCAACGUGAAGCUACAUGGUGACAACGGCGCUCGCAACAGUCCCCUGAUGUCACUGCCCGUCAAAGCGGCACGUCUUCAGUGUGUGUGUGUGUGUGGUACAGACGCAUGGUUCUCCCCUCCUCAGCCCACCGUCCAAACCAUUUUGCUGCUCUUUGCUUUCUCUCUCUCUCUCUCCUUGCCGCUUCUGCCUCUUCCUCUCCCGUUCAACACGGCCGCCAACCACGAAUGGUUGCCUCCGCGCGCAG
rnacentral:misc_RNA from 1 species